CUUGCCCCUGAGACAUGGCAGCUAUGGCUGGUUUGUCACCGGUGUGUCAGCAGAUGGCAGCGAACAGAGACUGUCUAUACCCACUGUUCUGACCUAUGAUCAUUCGAAUGAUUAGUACCCUAACACU
ensembl:snoRNA